ACUGGAUAGGAAUAAAAAGGCAUCUUUUUAUUUUUAAAAGACCUUUUUCGGAAGGUAUGCUUAAAGAGGGGCUUGCGUCACAUUAGUUAGUUGGCAGGGUAAAGGCCUACCAAGACUAUGAUGUGUAGCUGGACUGAGAGGUUGAACAGCCACAUUGGGACUGAGACACGGCCCAAACUCCUACGGGAGGCAGCAGUAGGGAAUUUUCGGCAAUGGAGGAAACUCUGACCGAGCAACGCCGCGUGAACGAUGAAGUAUUUCGGUAUGUAAAGUUCUUUAUUGAAGACGAAAAAUAGUGGAAAACUAUCUGACGAUAUUCAAUGAAUAAGGCCCGGCAAACUAUGUGCCAGCAGCCGCGGUAAUACAUAGGGGCGAGCGUAUCCGGAAUAUUGGGCGUAAAGGGUGCGUAGGCGGUUUAAUAAGUCUAUAGUUUAAUUUCAGUGCUUAACACUGUCCUGCUAUAGAAACUAUUAGACUAGAGUGAGAUAGAGGCAAGUGGAAUUCCAUGUGUAGCGGUAAAAUGCGUAAAUAUAUGGAGGAACACCAGAGGCGUAGGCGGCUUGCUGGGUCUUUACUGACGCUGAGGCACGAAAGCGUGGGGAGCAAACAGGAUUAGAUACCCUGGUAGUCCACGCCGUAAACGAUGAGUACUAAGUGUCGGGAUUACUCGGUACUGAAGUUAACACAUUAAGUACUCCGCCUGAGUAGUACGUACGCAAGUAUGAAACUUAAAGGAAUUGACGGGACUCCGCACAAGCGGUGGAUCAUGUUGUUUAAUUCGAAGAUACACGAAAAACCUUACCAGGUCUUGACAUACUCUGCAAAGCUAUAGCAAUAUAGUGGAGGUUAUCAGGGAUACAGGUGGUGCAUGGUUGUCGUCAGCUCGUGUCGUGAGAUGUUAGGUUAAGUCCUAAAACGAGCGCAACCCUUGUCAUUAGUUGCCAGCAUGUCAUGAUGGGCACUUUAAUGAGACUGCCAAUGAAAAUUGGAGGAAGGUGAGGAUCACGUUAAUCAUCAUGCCCCUUAUGAUCUGGGCUACAACGUGAUACAUGCUGUUACAAGAGUAGCUGAAACGCAGUUAUAGCAUCUCAUAAAGCAGUCUCAGUCGAUGAGUCUGCACUCGACUUCAUGAAGUUGGAAUCGCUAGUAAUCGCGAAUCAGCAUGUCGCGGUGAAUACGUUCUCGGGGUUUGUACACACCGCCCGUCAAACCACGAAAGUUGGUAAUACUCAAAAACGGUAGCCUAACUUCUUCGGAAGAGGGAACCGUCUAAGGUAGGAUCGAUGAUUGGGGCUAAGUCCGUA
rnacentral:rRNA from 1 species